CCUACGGGGGGCUGCAGUGGGGAAUAUUGCACAAUGGGCUAAAGCCUGAUGCAGCGACGCCGCGUGAGCGAAGAAGGCCUUCUGGUCGUAAAGCUCUUUCCUAUGUGCAGAAAGAUGACGGUACCAUAGGAGGAAGCCCCGGCUAACUACGUGCCGUCAGCCGCGGUAAGACGUAGGGGGCGAGCGUUGUCCGGAAUGACUGGGCGUAAAGGGUACGUAAGCGGCUAGAUAAGUCAGAUGUGGAAGGCAUAGGCUUAACCUGUGUAAGCAUUUGAAACUGUCUAGCUUGAGUCAAGGAGAGGAAAGUGGAAUUCCUGGUGUAGCGGUGAAAUGUGGAGAUAUCAGGAGGGAUACCAGUGGCGAAUGCGACUUUCUGGACUUAGACUGAAGCUGAGGUACGAAAGCGUGGGGAGCAAACAGGAUUUGAUUACCGUGUAGUC
rnacentral:rRNA from 1 species